GAUCAUGGCUCAGAUUGAACGCUGGCGGCAGGCUUAACACAUGCAAGUCGAGCGGAGACUUCGGUCUUAGCGGCGAACGGGUGAGUAAUACCUAGGAAUCUGCCUAUUAGUGGGGGAUAACGAAUCGAAAAGGUUCGCUAAUACCGCAUACGUCCUACGGGAGAAAGGGGGGGGAUCUUCGGACCUCUCGCUAAGUAGAUGAGCCUAGGCCGGAUUAGCUAGUUGGUAGGGUAAAGGCCUACCAAGGCGACGAUCUGUAGCUGGUCUGAGAGGAUGGCCAGCCACACUGGAACUGAGACACGGUCCAGACUCCUACGGGAGGCAGCAGUGGGGAAUAUUGGACAAUGGGGGCAACCCUGAUCCAGCCAUGCCGCGUGUGUGAAGAAGGCCUUCGGGUUGUAAAGCACUUUAAGCGAGGAGGAAGGUUUUAGUUUAAUACACUAAAGAAUUGACGUUACUCGCAGAAUAAGCACCGGCUAACUCUGUG
rnacentral:rRNA from 1 species